ensembl:snRNA U1 U1 spliceosomal RNA
UCACUUACCCUGGCAGGGGAGAUACCAUGGUCGCGAAAGUGGGUUUUCCCAGAGCAAGGCUUAUCCAUUGCACUCCAUACAUGCUGACCCCUGCGAUUCCCCCAAAUGUGGGAAAUCUAGCUGCAUAAUUUAUGGUAGUGAGGGUCUGUGUUUGUGCUCUCCCCUG